AUGAACGCUGGCGGCGUGCCUAAUACAUGCAAGCCGAGCGAACAGAUGAGGAGCUUGCUCCUCUGACGUUAGCGGCGGACGGGUGAGUAACACGUGGAUAACCUACCUAUAAGACUGGGAUAACUUCGGGAAACCGGAGCUAAUACCGGAUAAUAUAUUGAACCGCAUGGUUCAAUAGUGAAAGACGGUUUUGCUGUCACUUAUAGAUGGAUCCGCGCCGCAUUAGCUAGUUGGUAAGGUAACGGCUUACCAAGGCAACGAUGCGUAGCCGACCUGAGAGGGUGAUCGGCCACACUGGAACUGAGACACGGUCCAGACUCCUACGGGAGGCAGCAGUAGGGAAUCUUCCGCAAUGGGCGAAAGCUUGACGGAGCAACGCCGCGUGAGUGAUGAAGGUCUUCGGAUCGUAAAACUCUGUUAUUAGGGAAGAACAAAUGUGUAAGUAACUAUGCACGUCUUGACGGUACCUAAUCAGAAAGCCACGGCUAACUACGUG
rnacentral:rRNA from 1 species